GAAAUGCGAUAAUUAAUGUGAAUUGCAGAAUUCAGUGAAUCAUCGAGUCUUUGAACGCACAUUGCGCCCCCUGGUAUUCCGGGGGGCAUGCCUGUCCGAGCGUCAUUGCUGCCCUCAAGCACGGCUUGUGUGUUGGGCUUCCGUCCCUGGCAACGGGGACGGGCCCAAAAGGCAGUGGCGGCACCAUGUCUGGUCCUCGAGCGUAUGUGGCUUUGUCACCCGCUCCCGUAGGUCCAGCUGGCAGCUAGCCUCGCAACCAAUCUUUUUAACCAGGUUGACCUCGGAUCAGGUAGGGAUACCCGCUGAACUUAAGC
rnacentral:misc_RNA from 1 species